GGGAGCAGCCUCACGGCUCUGACCUCUGGCACGAAGACUAGCCCUCCAACCAGAGUUCAUGUGGAUCACACAUACGCGAUGCAAGGCGCGAUGGAUGGACAUGGCCCGCCGUCUGGAGGAAACGAUGUGGUCCUGUGCCACCCGCACCGAGGGCAAGGGGAAGAUGGACGUGUUGAGGGCCAGACUUCGACAGCUUCGGAAACAUAACAAGAGACUCCAGCAACGACUGCAGCGACGGCGUCAUAUGCUGACUGUCACUGAGAUAGUUGAAAGUGUACGUAG